UACCGGGAUGGCCUUAGUAACGGCGAGUGAAGCGGCAAAAGCUCAAAUUUGAAAUCUGGCACCUUCGGUGUCCGAGUUGUAAUUUGAAGAAGGUAACUUUGGAGUUGGCUCUUGUCUAUGUUCCUUGGAACAGGACGUCACAGAGGGUGAGAAUCCCGUGCGAUGAGAUGCCCAAUUCUAUGUAAAGUGCUUUCGAAGAGUCGAGUUGUUUGGGAAUGCAGCUCUAAGUGGGUGGUAAAUUCCAUCUAAAGCUAAAUAUUGGCGAGAGACCGAUAGCGAACAAGUACAGUGAUGGAAAGAUGAAAAGAACUUUGAAAAGAGAGUGAAAAAGUACGUGAAAUUGUUGAAAGGGAAGGGCUUGAGAUCAGACUUGGUAUUUUGCGAUCCUUUCCUUCUUGGUUGGGUUCCUCGCAGCUUACUGGGCCAGCAUCGGUUUGGAUGGUAGGAUAAUGACUAAGGAAUGUGGCUCUACUUCGGUGGAGUGUUAUAGCCUUGGUUGAUACUGCCUGUCUAGACCGAGGACUGCGUCUUUGACUAGGAUGUUGGCAUAAUGAUCUUAAGCCACCCGUCUUAAAAAAGGGGNNAAAAAA
rnacentral:rRNA from 1 species